UAAUAAAUAUACUGGUGGAACAGGUAAGUCAUAAUAUUGUUAGCCUAGGUAUUGAUUGCCACUCUGAAACAAACUUAACUCUGUUUUUUCUGAGGCUUGCUACGAUUUGAGGUGGUUGUAGCUAGUCGGUAUCACUGCUAAUAAUUGCCCCACAAUUUUUGGAUUUUCUUAAUAUACCUAUCUUAUAGUUGAGACAAUGUUAAGACACUAAUCAUUGUGUCGCAAAUGACAUGGGACAGAGAUGUUUAAUAUUCUUCUGGGUGGUCCAGGGUGGCAGAGGCCUCCCGUUGGUAAUGAAGUUAGGUUAGGUGGGUUUGGUUACUGUUAUAAACUACGUUAUUUUUGAUGGUAAUGAAGGUCAUAAUAUGUAGCUUACUAUAGAAUUCCUCAUGUUCUUUUUCGUUAAUUUUGAGUCAUCAAAUGAUUUAAUUUCAUAUUUGGUAUACACAUUAAUAUGCAAAUCUUACUGUUAGGCUUAUAGGCAAUGGUGUUCUAUCUUAUGCUUUUACAACUAAUACAGGCUGAAAAAUUAUGGCUGCUAUUAUUAUUUUUGACUUAUUUUACCAUUUAUUGUUUGUUACCAUAAAUCUAAUUAACUUUUGACAUAGAUAGAGGAGAAUUUGGGGGGCUACAGCUACAAUGAUAGGUUAGGUUGUAAUGUUUUGAACUAUUUUAAUAGAUUCCUUUCUAACAUAGUAGUGUACAUAUAACAUAGUUGUGUACAGUGUAUGUAACCACAGCUCACAGUAAGAAAGUUUGAAUUGUUUUUUUUUCUCUUGAAGGAGGCGGCCUCCAAAUUGAAAACACCCUGUACAUACACUGCAAUUGACGAAGCAGUUCUUCAACUCUUAGAUCCAGCCUUUAUUCAUGGGAUUCCAGCGAUUUUGGAAAGUGAAGAACUUAUUGAUGAAGAAGGAAGAGAACAAACCCCAGGACCCUCAGGAGCUAGGUUUACUGCUGUUCAUUCCAGCGAGGAAUCUAUGUUGGGGCCCAUUCAAAAGAAAGAGGAUUCUCUAACCAUCUUGCUGACUGAGGAUAUACACACUUGUUAACUAAUAACACGUGUUGCAGUGCUACUAGGAUAAUGUUUACCCAGGUUUUGGGUAAAAGUUCACACCACAAUCAAAUGUAUAGCUUUGAAAACAGACACGUGUACUUAUUUUUAUUUUUUAAAGGUUCCUUUAUUUUGGUAAUACGUAGUUAAUUUCCAGUUCAACCUGUUUAAUUAAUUAGUUUGUAUGAUUCAAGUAGGUUGAAACAGAAAUAAUGGUGCAAAUUCACCAACAGCCUACUGUAAUCACUGCUAUUUAGCACACAUUAUUCUCCAAAGAGCAAGUUGUUGCAUUGGUUCUUUCAUAAGGAUGUGCUGUCUCAUGCUAAAUUGUAUAGCUUAACAAGCCAAGAGUUUGCUAUUUGUUUACUUUAUUACUUAUAGUAGUACAGUAUUUGGUUAUAAGUUUACUUUAAUAUACGGGUGUUGAUGCAGGUACAUUCUAGUCAUGAGAGUUCCUUCAGUAAUUCUAGACAUAUGAAAAUUAUACUGUAUUCCAUUUUUAAAUCUUAAAAAUGGCAACAAUUAACAGUAGUUGUAUUAAUUUUUCACAACGAUGUGGUGACUCAUGUCAAAUUGUGUAGUUUAAGAAGCAAACAGUGGCAAUAUUUUUUUAUUGUUUCAAUUUCUCAAAUAUGUUUUAUAUAAUGAUUUUUGUUUUCACAAACUUCAGUGCCUUUGGUAUUUAGUAGUAUUAAAAGUAUACUGUAUUGGAAUCAAAUUGCUCAAGGAUAUAGUACAUACUUUAUUUUCCUAUAUAAAAUGCUUAUCUUAUGAAGGUAAAAGAAAGCCAUUUAUUUUCUGUAUUUUCAAUAAAGAAGUUCAUUUUAUUAUGUACAGUAUAUUGAAAAUAAAAGUUAAUUCAAUGUAUGCUUUAUUAGCAUUACCUCUAUACUGCAAUAAAAAAUAAUUAUUAAA